AUCCUGGCACCAGGCAGCCGUGGGUGGAGCGCUUCCGCUCAAUGGGCAUCCAGGAUUAAAGGGCAAGGACCGCCGGGGAACAAACCGCGGCCUCUCUGUAAUGUUUAACCCAGGCAGCCAGCUCCCAUAUAGUAAUAGUGCUGAAGACGGUCACCUCUGCCCUGGGCUGCCAGCACUGACCUAGGGCGUGUGCGGUAGGACGGAAUUUGAAUUCCAUCGACGUGGUUAGCUGUCACCAUCUGCACCAGCACUGUUAGCAUUGCUGCCACGGCUGUUUUCCUUUCCCUGGAGGGAAGGGGAAGGCGUUUCAGAAAUAAAUUUAGUCUGUUCGUGGCCUAAGAACCAGAGGAAUGGGAGCAGCCCUAGAAGGAAGCUGCUUCUGAGCGACUGUUCUAAAGGUGUGCUCUGCCUUGUGCCCAGGAAUCAGGGCGCGCGUGCAGUUCCUGUUUCUGCCACCGGGUGGCGCAGCCCAGCCCACACCCCACCUCCUGCGUCUCCCACACCCACCCUCGUCCCCAGAUGGCAAUGCUGACCUGACCUGAUUGCGCCAGUGGGAAUUUACAUGCCUGCGCUCUUGGCUAAGCCGGUUACUCAGCUCACCAAAAAACUUAGUCACAUAAUGUUGAAGCCACUUUCUACCUUGAGGUUGAACCCUCUUCAAAGCCAGUGGCAGGAGCAUCCUAGGGCUUCUGGGACUCCUAACGUCUCAUCUGAAGCAGGGACUCUCAUCUGGCAGAGCCUUUCCGUUGAUACAAGGAAAACGAGUGACUGGCCAAUCAGCAGAGGCUGGGGGUUACUGCCAGAUACAAUGGACGCUAAGGACAUCCUCUCCUGCUGAGAAGUGUCUGGACUGUGGCACCCAGGCUGAGAACUCCUGACUCUCUGCUUCAGCCUCUGAAAGAAGAUCUACACCUGCCUGGCUUAGUCUGUUACCGUGUUGGAUCCAUGACUUCAUACAUGCUGGACAAACACCACCAACCCAGCCCAGCUGGUCACCUCAAUAGAUGUGCUCCAUGACCACCAGAAUAAACCAUCAAAACCAUUUAAACGGGUAUCAGCAAGAGUAUCAAACACAUGAACAUGGCUUGGAAGAGCCGAAGCGUUUCUAUCAACCUCUAAAGUUGACCUCCAGGCCCACAUAGUUGUGUUUUUCCAUGAGCUUGUGAAGGCUGCUGGGCGGUUCUGGUUGCCUCUUUGUAACCUUUGUCUGUGGGCUACUGUGCAAUUCUACAUCUGCUCCUGAGGAUUUUAUGGUCUGUUCUGGGGUCUAACUGCAUCUCCCUCUGAUUAAGUCCUUGAGAUAGCCUCAGUCCUCACCUCGUCAUGAACAAGCUGACCCAUACACAGUGGCUUGCUCUUUAGGUAGAAUUCCUAGGCUGCUAAUGAGUGUGAACGGCCUAAGAAGGUAAAAAUGGUAGCAUUAUGGACAGUGACUUCCUAGACAGACUCUCUAUGUUUCACUCGCUCUUCCUCUUGCUCGCCAGAAUCUAGCAGCUUUCCUCUGUCUUCGAAGCAUGGCUUCUUCCUGGCAACAGAACAGCCCUCCAUCUUCUGAACAACCACCACAACAAGUACACUUUCACCCUGUGUCAGAAAUCUGUGUACCUCUCCCUACCCCUCAUUACCCCAUAGAGGGUCAUGGAGAUUUCUCUGGAUGAGAUUUCAUCCUGACAGCCACUGAUGAUAGGACAGUGACUGGCCCUUGACAUUUUAAGACCAUGCCCAGGCUUUCUCCAUAGCAUAGGUCCUGAAUUCUGUGUGGAAGAAAGAGGAAGGAAAGGAGGAAAAGGAAAGAGGAGGAAGAGGAAAGAGGGAGGAAGGAGGAGAGUCCUAUGCCUUUAGAGCUACACAGAUAUCAUAGCAUGUGGCAGAUAGGAACCCUGUUCGUUAGUCUGGACUUUGGGGGCUACUGAGAGUCCACCUGCAUGAAGAGGUUGGGGCUGCUGGGGCAGAAAGACCUGAGAUGUCCAUCACUCAGAACCCAGCUGCCAAUCUCCUCUCCCUUCAGGCUUGUUGUAAUGCCCACCCAACAUCCACUGUCCGUGAGGCAGCUUCCUCUCCAGGGUCUGCGGUCUAGCGCAAUGGGGGAUUGCAUGAAGUCCUAGUAGCAAGCGUUUGGGUUAGAGCAGCUCCCUGGAAGGAGAACUCAAAGUGGGGAUGGGGAAGAGAGUGGCACGGAAGAAAGCCUGGCAUGAGAAGGUGGGCCAGGGGCAGGAAGGGUCCUAAGUGCUGCUGGAAAGCCAGUAGGAUACUGGGUAAUGCAUUCACCAGGCCGGGACUGGCACUAAUAGGGUCCUGGGCAUGUUUUAGGCCUGGGGUAGAAGAAUGAAGAUCACUUCCUAAAAUUAAGGUCAUUAGGUGAACCAAGCCAUGUGUGGUGGCUUGUGCCUGUAAUCCCUGAAGGACAAUUGCCAUGAAUUUAAGGCCAAUCUGUGCUACAGAAUGAGACAGUCUCCCUGCUGCCUCUCGCCCUUCCCCACACACACAAAUUGAGCAGGUGUGCCUCAGCAAUCUCUCGGGGCCACCACAGGCUUAAAAUCCAUGAUGUUCAGACUUGGUUGGAAGGAGAUAAUAAAUAGCUGUGGCUAGUCUCCAACCUUGCCAUGUAGCCAUACUCUGGAGCUCAACUGAUAGCCUAAGCAAGAGGCAAUCCAGAUCCCCACCAUGCUCCAGCACAAGGCAAGUUUCUGCCUGCUUCUGUGGAGGAGACAGCGAAGCGUGGCCUCUGUACUUCCGGUUCAGCCAGAAGCUAACUUUAGCUUCAUAGGAGCAUAUGCAAAACCAUGAUGGCGGCCUCUUUCCACCCUGCACCUGUGGGUAUUUGAAUGUCUGUACUGCUGGCAUGUUCUGGGGCUGAAAACCUCUCAGACUCUGAAACUCUUUGUUCCCUUGGCAACCAGCUCAUACCCUCCCACCCCUCAGGCAAAGCUGUUCUUCGGUCUCCCCCCUGUAUGUGGGCCCCACUGCCAGGAGAGGCCCCACAAGAGCUGCAGUUUGGGGCAGGGUAGAGUUUUGGGAAGCUUUCUGUGGUCCCUGUUGGGUGGGAUAGAGUCAGGUCAGGAACUAGAAUUCCAGUUUGUCCCUUAUCCUCCCUCCCCACUCCUGACUGCUAGCCUUUUGUUCUUGUCAUGGCUCAUUAGUUCUCCAAACAGAGGUUGAACAAGGAGAAAAAUGGGGAAGCAAAUACCUCUAGCAAAAGAUCUGGUAGGGAAGGAAGUUAAAACCAAUCAUCAUGAGAUUUCAGUUACCCCACCCACUGGCCUCUGGUUGGUGUGCAGCCAGGGGCCAGAAUUAAACGCUGCAUGGGGACCCGAAACAUAUCUUAUGCCCGCUAUAGAGUUCUUGAUCUCCAAUUUGAAAGCACUUGAGCCAGGAGUCAGGAUGCUGUAUCAGGGCUCGUUCACUGGAGGAGAGCACCCGACUGAGUGGGGAAUCUUCCUGGCACCAGGAGGGUAUAAAGGGUUGAGCUGCGGGCAUGGAGAGCAUACGAGAGGCAAGGAAGCAAUCUUCCACAUCACUCCCUGGAAGAACGCCAGGGUCUUGAUGUGUGGGCCAGAGGAAUUACUGCGCUUUAGAGGAACAUCAAGGAACAGAUCUGAGCCGUGGGAAGAGGCCAAACAGUAAAGCCCCAAGUGCCCCUCUGGCAACAAAGGUGGGCCUAGCUGCCAGGAACAGCAGGUCCAGAGUUGUUGCUCUCUCCUUUCCGCCUCCCUUGUUCUUCCUCCUCACUGUACUGCCAGUCAGAAUAAGACACCGAAGCUCAUCAGCAUGAGCUGCAUAGGUCUAGAAUCCCAAUGGUCCACUAAAAAGUGGCCUGGGAACAAGGGAGUGCCACAAUAAAUGGAAAGGCAAGGAGCCUGAGCUAAGCCUUAUCAGCCCGAGUGCUGGGCAGAAACUACUGCCCCUGCCCGAAGCCCAGUGCCUUACCACAGGAAUCAGUCAAGUCUUUGGCCUCUCAAGAGAGCAACUUUCUCCUAAGGAGGAGCUGCUGAUUCCAUGUUCCUGGAAUUCUGACAGAAAUCAUGAACAUCAGUUGAGUUCCUACCUAGAAAAUCAUACCUCUGAUUUGAUACCCUAUACAUCACCAUAUCUUUUGUAUACAGCAGGCACUUAUCUGGGAGAUACAGCUCAAGCCAUUUUUGACAGUUCUACAACCCAUAGGGCACAAGAACUUGGGAUGCCACUAUCCAGAUCAACAGCACAGCACCAGCAAGCCGUGACCUGGAGAAAUGGACACGAAGCUCUAUGUCAAACCCUUCCCAUAAGGGACUUUCCACACUGAUGGCCUUUGCUAGGAAGCUUUCAUUGCUUUGCUGAUGGGGCCUUUAAGUGGAAGGUACUGGAGCAGAUGUGUUGUCACGAUUUCAUGUAUGUAAAGCACAGCACCAAGUAUUGACCAGCAGAACAAGCACAAGAAAUAAGUUCCCCAGACACCACCUAGAGAAGAAGAGUGGGAGUUCCACUGUGGACAGUGUGUUUGGAGAAGUUGAAAUGGAAAAGAAAAUAUACUUUUGAAACAACCAUUUCCAGGCUGGGGAUGUAGCUCAGUUAGGGGACUGCUAGCUUAGCUUGCACAAAGCCAUGGCUCUAAGUCCCAGCGCUGCAUAAAAUUGAUCACGGUGGUACAUGCCUUUAAUUUUAGCAGUAGAGAGAAGCAGAAGGGCACCAGGCUGCAGAGUGAGUGUGAGGCCAGCCUGGGCUCUUUAUAAGACCCCCAUCUCAUAAUGGAGGAGGAGGAGAGGAAGAACUAUUUCUUCUUGCAAACCAUUAAAGCAAGCAGAUCAACUGCUUGAGUUCCAAAACAUACGAUUUGUCCCCAGGCCCAUGGAUGAGAAGAUGUCACGUGGCUAUGAAAACAUGCAAAUGCUGAGGAAAUGGACACUUGCUCCUUACAUGGCAUUGUAGUGCUGCCUUCCCUCACGUGGCUGCCCCUCAGGCCCACGAGGAUUUAUUUACGAGACAAGAAUUAUUAUCUUCAUUUCACAGAUGAAAAGAGCAUCAGUUGGGAACUUCUCAAAAGCUUCCCUCUUUCUGAGGGGGCAGAGCUGGGGUUAGAGCCUGGGUGAUCUAGCUUUAGAUAAUUGAAUAGGGCUCUUCUAGCUAUGCCGGGGGGGGGGGGGGCGUUAAGUUUGUACGUACCAGGAGAUUUUCAGAGAGGAAGGGCAGGCUGGCUUCUCUGGGCCCAGCUUGCAUCGGAGGAGCUAGGAUUUUCCCUGUUCUGUAUAUGAGAAGUUUCAAUGCAUGUAAGGUAUUUUUUGUGUAUGAGAAGUUUCGAUGUAUAUAAGAUUUUGUUUAAACCUUGGAAAGUUUAAAAUAAAUUGAAAGCUCACUGACCUUCACAGUAAGUGCUCUAGCCUUCAGCCACAACCCGGGCAGCCUCACUUGGGCUGCAUACAAGGCAGAGAGGGGUGGCAGCACCAGCCUGACGGCUCAGUCACUUCCAGGGAGCUCCGGGCAUGCUGACCACCCCAUCCUGCUUUAGAACUUCUUUCGUGUGUUCCCCAAAGGUAUGUGUGUUGGAGGCUAGUCUGAUGCUUGUUACUGGCCCUCAAGAUCUGGUUACACCUAUCCUUGUUUUGUAAACCUGCCUAAGACAUACCUGAUUGGUUGAUUAAAUGGCAUUGGUUGGGGCCUGGGAGACGGAUGGUGAGGAUAUUGAGACAGGCGUAGGUGAAACAGCUGCCUGGCCCAAGGUAAAUAAGGCAAUUAUAAAAUCGAACAGGUGUCUGUGUCUUAUUACUUGUGGUAGCAAGUUAGAUAAUACCACUGUGGUUAUCUUAAGGCUAAUAACAAAUAUUGGCUAGCCCAACACACACUGUUUGUUUGUUUACUACAACAGUAUUUCUACAAAGUGUACCCCGCCAAGGAGCAGUGUUUGGAGGCUGUAUUGGUUACUUUUGUUGCUGUGACAAAAUAUAGAACAAAAACAGCUUGAGGAAGGCAAAGCUUACUUUUGCCUCAUGGUUUGAGCGUACAAAUACAUCCUGGCAGAAAGGCAUGGUGGCUGGGGAAUGAGGCUACGGGUGGCUACAUUGUGUCUGCUGUCAGAAAGCGGAGAAAUGCGACAUUCAGCUGGCUUCCUCCUUUCCUCAUUCAGGGACAGCAGCCUACAAGGUGGUGCUGUCCACUCUCAGGGUAGUUCUCUCUCCUCGGCUGAACAUCUCUGCAGGGUCUGCCGCUGCUACCAGCAGGUCUGGCUUGUGGGUGAUUCCGAAGGCUGUCGAGCUGACGAUGAAGACUGACCGUCACGGAGGUACUGGAGCCUUUAAGAGGCAAGCUAGGCAGAAGGUAGUUAGGUCAUGGAGGAGUGCCCCAGGACAGGAUUCAUUGGUCCGAGGAGUGGGCUGGUUCUCGUGGCAACAGGAUGCUGUUCACUGAGGUUAUGCCACGUUGUUGACUCCAGUGGAUUUUCCUUGCCCAGGAUUUUCCUUGCCCACAGUGGCUUUCCUUUCCUCUUCUCUGUUGAGUUGUGCUGCAGCCCGGGGCCCUCGCCAGGACACCAGCACUAUUUGGACCCUCCAGCCACCAGAGUCAUGAGCCCAGGAGGCUUGUUUACUUACUGAGUUAAUCAGCCCCAGGUAUCUCAUUAAAACAACACGAAAUGGACUAACAGGAGAGGGAAGAAAACAUGGACUUGUCAGUUUGAAUGAAGGGUUUGUGGACUGACAUUACGGGGUGCCGUCUGGUCAGCUCUGUGGAUCUUUCCCAGAUAUAUCUAAGGCCAAUUGGUUCGUAACCUGCCCAAACAUAACCAACUUCUGAAGCAGAGCUUCCAAGUUCCUCUAGGCCUAGCCUUCAGUGGCAUUCGUGUUUAGUCUGAGAAUUGGCUUGCUUGGACACAUCCAUUUUCCACGGGGCAAGGACACACAGCAUGUCCUCAUGGACGCCAUAAUCCCUAAAAUAUCCACGAUGGCUUGUAAAUGGUUUGAAGGUUCCCUACGAUGGAUCAUGUAUUAGAAACUUUGUCUCCAAGUGUGGCGAGGCUGACAGCACUGGAACCAUUAAGAGGUAGCAGCAUCCUACUGGGAUCCAGAAAUCAGCCAUGCAGGGAACUUUUGCCCCAGAAAAACUACAAAACAAAAAAGAUUGCAAAUCAGGACUCAGUUUCAGAAGUGCCAUUGUUUCUAAGGACAUAUAAACUGGAUUAACCUGGAACUUGCUUUUCAUUUGAGGCUGAUUUUGAACUCCUAAUCCUGACUCUUCCUCCCAAGUAACAGGAUUGCCUUUUGGGGAGGUGCAAGAUCUCAGAAUAUCUUUUGCCCAGAAAUCUUCCUGCCUUGACCGCCUAAAUCCUGGUGCUGUAGGUGUGUGUACUCAUAUACUCAGCUCAAAAAGCCAAUUUUGUAUGGAUUGACCAACAUGCCAUGAGCCAGAGCACACUGCAGACAAAGCAGCAGGACCCCAUCAAGAUGAUUGCUUUGUCUAUGUGAGAUCUCACUUAUAAUACCCCCCCCCCAUGCACCAAAGAGUGGCAGGAGGAGCUCAAGAACCAGACAAGGUUUAAGUCAUAUAAAACGAGAGUACACUUCAGCCUUCCUCCCUGCGGUGGCUAAUACUAGAUAAUAUUUUAUUUGCUUGUGUGUUGAGGUUGUAUGCAUAUGUCUAUAUCCCCGUCUACCUUACAUGUGUAUGGGGAUGCGAGCAUGUGUGUGUACAUGCAUGUGGAAGUCAAUGGGCAUCUUCCUCAAUCUCUUUCAACCUUACUUUUUUUUGGGUGUGGGGGGAGGAGAGGUAUGGUUUAUUUUAGCUCAUGAUUCCUGGUGACAGUCCAUCACAACAGGGAAGGCCAAGUGGCUUGAGAGAACUGUCAGCCUUAUUUUUUGAGACAAGAUCUGGGGCCAGCAAACUCGAGGGAUCUGCCUAUCUCCGACUCCCCAGUGCCGGGAUUACAGAUAAAUGCUGCCAUACCUGGCCUUUCGUGUGGAAGCUGGGAAUCCAAACUCAAGUCCUCACGCUUUUGCGGCAAGCACUUUACUGACUAAGCCAUCUUCCUUCGGCCCAGGGUGGCUAAUUUUGAUUGGACUGAAAACCACGUGGAGGAGGAGGUUUCUCUGCAUAUGCGUAGAAGGUAUUUGCAGACAAGACGAAAGCAAAGAGACCUUGGCCUAAUGAGAAUGGUUUAAUAUGGUGAUGAACUCAAAAUCUGAAUAGAGGAUAGGGAGGUGGUUGAACUGUGGAAGGUUGGAAUAAUGACAUCACCUCAGGGCAGGAAUGCCCUGGGCCCUUCUUCCUGUUGGUUCUCUUCACCUCCUGUUGUCAUAAGCCCCUUAUAGAAGCCUGUGCUGCCCAGAUGUUCUCCUCGAUGGUAUGGGAAAGAUUAUCUAAUUCUGGGGCUGAGACCCAGGGAACUCAUUUGCCUACGGCCACAAGCCACAGCUGUGUUUUUACUUCCUUCUGGUUCAGCCCUUUUAUUUCUCAGUUGAUUCGGUUGAUUCAGGGAAAGAGAAAUCUGUUUCAGGGCCUCUUAACCCCGUUAGGAGGCAAGGGAGGUGUGGCACAGAACUCAGCCUGCCAAGGACUUUCCCGAAGUGUUUCUAUGGAUUAAGAGGAAGCUGUCAACCUUCAACCGCAGCGCGUCUCAUAUUAGAAUGUUAAUGUCCUGCUCUCUGAAAAUUUCAUGUGUCGAUGAAAGCCCCAGCGGGGGCUGACCCAGCUCCAAAAGGAGUUCCUGAGGAAAAGAAAUCCUGGCUUUUCCUCAGAAUCCCUCCCCCACAGCAGCAGUCCUGCUCCAGGGGCGGGAAGGCUUUGAUCUGGGUAGGGAUCCUCUUGUAGGCCCUUUCAAGUUGCCUGACGGAACAGUACGCCUCCCACAUACAUGCUCACCUGCGUUUCACAGCAAAUGCUUCUGCCUGCAACCAUCUAGUUUGAGAGUUCAGACCCUCAACAGAGAAGAAACGUGUGAACCGAUUUUUCUCCCUGCAUCUCUGAGAAGUCCAGUCGAGACCAUCUUCAUCAGGGAAGAUACGUUAAUAUUUUCUGUAGGAAUGUUUCUGGGAAGUUGCUCAGGAAAAGGGGACAAGUGAAUGUUCCUGAUACGUAUAUAUGAAACUGUCAUUGAGGACACUCUUUAAUGACCUUCUAGAUAGAACCUUCUCUCUGAUGGCCUCCAUGAGAAAGACCUGGGAUCUUGUCCUAGGAAGUUUUGUUUUCUGGGGGAAGUGACUUACUUCUGCCUGUGGAAUGAGCAAAUCCCACUUUUCUCUAUGUCUUGGCUCCCAGUCCAGAUCCUUUGAGCUCAAUUACCAGUGCUAGUCCCUGUUAGUUAGGGUUCCAUCGCUAUGAUAAAACACCAUGACCAAACCAACUUGGAGAAAAAAAGGGUUUAUUUCAGCUUAUGCUUCCACAUCACAGUCCAUCAUCAAAGGAAGUGAGGCUAGGAACCAGGCAGCAACUUGAAGAUGAUAACUAAAGCAGAAACCACAGAGGGUUGCCGAGUAUUGGCUGGCUCCUCCUCAUUUAUUCAUCCUUUCUCGCAGAGACACCAAGCCCUGUGGGCUGAGCCCUCCUCUAUCAACCAUUGGUCAGUAAAAUGCCCCACAGGCUUACCCACAGACCAGUCUUUUGGGGGCAUUUUCUCAAUUGGGAUUCCCUCUUCCCAAAUGACUGAUUUGUAUCAAUUUGACAAAAAUAAAAUAAAAAACACAAACAAACAAACAAACAAGAAACCACAAAAAAACCCUAACUAGGACAUAUACUAAAUCUUAUUGGUUUAGAUUUUUGUCUUUCUUGCUCCUUUUUCCUUCUACCUUUAUUGAUUUUGACAUACUUAUUUCUUUUCAAUAUGAAUUUGUAAGUCUUUCAGAAUGAGUUAGCACUAAGAUGAAAUGAUUCUAUGAUUCUUGAGGUCAGGGACAGACGUCUUAGUAAGAAAAAGGGAUGCUCCCGGGGAGGGUAAUGGAAUUGCUCUCUCUUGACAGUGGUAGUGGUGACUUGGGUACAAGAGUUCAUGGAAGUGAAGAGUUAAAGUGAUACACUUUGCCAUAGGUAAUUAAACUUCGAUCUCAUCAUCUAACUAACACGAAGUUGCUAUAUGCUAUCAGGCAUCUUGCAUGUAAAGAAAUAAAUACGAUGUCUUGGGAAGUAUUUGGCUCAGGGUUGUGGUAUGUAGUCUAAGAAAGAAGUCAAGGACAGCUUAUAUAGAAACAGCGUUUCAGCCGAGGCUCCUGUGCUUGGAAAGCGUGGGAGGAAUGGAUCCCCAGGCCAAGGACAGUCAGUGAUUUCUCAAAGGGACUUAGACCAGGGGAGAUCGGGGAGGAGGCUGCAGUAGCAUGGGGGAGAGGCCUGCAGAGGGGUCACGAGAGCAACUUAUUUUGAAGGGUUAGAUACAAACCGUGAGAAGCGGCUCUGAACGAUGCUAGGGACGCUGCAGUGCAGAUUGCUCCUCGUAGAUUUUAGGGUUUCGUGAGACCUGGGAGAUAAGGAUGGCCUUUAGCCUCCUGCAACAAACGGAAAAAGUAAGGCCCAGAGACAGUGGAAAUUAAGACACAAAUGGGUUAGGAUUCAGUUUGGUUUAAAUUCAAAUUAAACCAGUGUUUACCGAUUGCUACACGUGUCAGGUUCUACUUCCUCCCUGUCGAUCCAGAGCCAGUUAGGCAUUGCAAGAUUCAAAACUCUUUAGUUUUGUGCAGGGUGAUAAGUAUGGAUCUAUUUGCAUUUUUCUACAUGUAGACUUCCAGUUAGACCAGCACCAUUUGUUGAAGAUGCUGUCUUUUUUCCAUUGAAUGGUUUUGGCAUCUUUGUCAAAAAUCAGGUGUCCAUAAGUGUGUGGAUUUAUGUCAGGGUCUUCUAUUCGAUUCCAUUGAUCCACCAGUCUGUUUCUAUGCCAAUACCAUGCAGUUUUUAGUAUUGUUGCUCUAUAGUACAGCUUGAGAUCAGGGACUGAGAUACCUCCUGAAGAUCUCUUAUUGUAGAGAAUUGUUUUAGCAAUUCUGGGUUUCUUGUUGUUCCAUAUGAAGGUGAGAAUUUUUUCUUUCAAGGUCUAUAAAGAAUUGUGUUGGUAAUUUGAUGGGAAUUGCAUUGAAUCUGUAGAUUGCUUUUGGUAAGGUGGCCAUUUUUACUAUGUUAAUCCUGCCAAGCCAUGAGCAUGGGAGAUCUUUCCAUCUUCUGAUAUCUUCUUCUAAUUCUUUCUUCAGAGGCUGGAAAUUUUUUUCAUACAAGUCUUUGACUUGCUUGGUUAGAUUCACACCAAGGUACUUUAUGUCCUUUGUGGCUAUUGUGAAGCCCUGCACAAAACUAAACUUCUGCCUGUGGAAUGAGCAAAUCCCACUUUUCUCUAUGUCUUGGCUCCCAGUCCAGAUCCUUUGAGCCCAAUUACCAGUGCUAGUCCCUGUUAGUUAGGGUUCCAUCAAUUUUUGAUCCAAGUGGAUCAAAGACCUCAACAUAAAACUAGACACACUAAACUGCUUAGAAGAAAAAAUGGGGAAUACCCUUGAACUCAUUGGCACAGGAGACAACUUCCUGAACAGAACACCAACAGCACAGGCUCUAAGAGCAACAAUUAAUAAAUGGGACCUCAUGAAACUGAAAAGCUUCUGUAAAGCAAAGGAUACUGUCCUCAGAACAAAACGACAGUCUACAGAUUGGGAAAAGAUCUUCACCAACCCUAUAUCUGACAGAGGGCUAAUAUCCAGUAUAUAUAAAGAACUAAAGAAGUUAAACAGCAAAAAAUCAAGUAAUCCAAUUAAAAAAUGGGGUACAGAGCUAAACAGAGAAUUCUCUGCAGAGGAAUAUCGAAUGGCAGAGAGAUACUUAAAGAAAUGCUCAACCUCAUUAGCCAUCAGGGAAAUGCAAAUCAAAACAACCCUAAGAUUUCACCUUACAUCCAUCGGAAUGGCUAAGAUCAAAAACUCAAGAGACAACACAUGUUGGAGAGGUUGUGGAGAAAGGGGAACCCUCCUCCACUGCUGGUGGGAAUGUAAACUUGUACAACCACUCUGGAAAUCAAUCUGGGGCUUUCUCAGACAACUAGGAAUAGCGCUUCCUCAAGAUACAGCUAUACCACUCCUAGCAUAUAUCCAAAAGAUUCUCAAGUACACAAUAAGGACAUUUGCUCAACCAUGUUUGUAGCAGCCUUAUUUGUAAUAGCCAGAAGCUGGAAACAGCCCAGAUACCCCUCAACUGAGGAAUGAAUGCACAAAUUGUGGUACAUCUACACAAUGGAAUAUUACUCAGCAAUAAAAAACAAGGAAAUCAUGAAAUUUGCAGGUAAAUGGUGGGAUCUGGAAAAGAUCAUCCUGAGUGAGCUAUCCCAGCAGCAGAAGGAUGCACACGGUAUAUACUCACUCAUAUAGACAUAUAAUAUAGGAUAAACCUACUAAAAUCUGUACACCUAAAGAAACUAAUCAAGAGGGAGGACUCUUGCUAAAAUGCUCAAUUCCUACCCAGAAAGGCAAAGAGGCUAGACAUCAGAAGAAGGAGAAAAGAGGGAACAAGUCAGGAGCCUGACACAGAGGACCUCUGAAAAGCUCUGCCCUGCAGACUAUCAAUGUAGAUGCUGAGACUUAUGGGCAACCUUUGGGCAGAGUGCAGGGAAUCUUAGGAAAGAAGUGGGAAAAUCUGGAGAGGACAGGAAUUCCAUAAGGAGAGCAACAGAACCAAAAAAUCUGAGCACAGGGGUCUUUCCUGAGACUGCUAUUCCAACCAAGGACUAUGCAUGGAGAUAACCUAAGACUCCUGCACAGAUGUAGCCCAUGACAGUUCAGUAUCCAAGUGGGUUCCAUUGUGAUAGGAACAGGGACUGUCACUGACAUGAACUGAUUGGCCUGCUCUUUAAUUACCUCCCCCUGAGGGGGAAGCAGCAUUACCAGGCCACAGAAGAGGACAGGCAGCUACUCCUGAUGAGAUCUAAUUGACUAGGAAUUAGACUAGAUCUAAUUCCCUCAGAAGGAGGGAAAAGAAGUCCUCCCCUAUCAGUGGACUCGGGGAGGGGCAUGCA